CCUACGGGAGGCAGCAGUGGGGGAUAUUGCACAAUGGGGGAAACCCUGAUGCAGCGACGCCGCGUGAGGGAAGACGGUUUUCGGAUUGUAAACCUCUGUCUUUGGGGACGAAUUGAGACGGUACUCACGUAGGAAGCUCCGGCUAACUACGUGCCAGCAGCCGCGGUAAUACGUAGGGAGCAAGCGUUGUCCGGAAUAACUGGGUGUAAGGGGAGAGUAGGCGGGUUAGUAAGUUGAUUGUUAAAUCUAGCGGCUAACCUGGGAGAUGCGAUCAAAACUGGAAUUCUUGAGUGAAGGAGAGGCAGGUGGAAUUCCUGGUGUAGCGGUGAAAUGCGUAGAUAUUAGGAGGAACACCAGUGGCGAAGGCGGCCUGCUGGGCUUUAACUGACGCUGAGGCUCGAAAGUGUGGGUAGCAAACAGGAUUAGAUACCCGAGUAGUC
rnacentral:rRNA from 1 species